UGCGUAGGCGGUUUGAUAAGUCAGGAGUGAAAGUUAUCUGCUUAACGGGGAAAUUGCUUUUGAUACUGUCAAGCUUGAAUCGGGUUGAGGUUAGCGGAAUGUGACAUGUAGCGGUGAAAUGCAUAGAUAUGUCAUAGAACACCAAUUGCGAAGGCAGCUAGCUAGGCCUAGAUUGACGCUGAGGCACGAAAGCGUGGGGAGCGAACAGGAUUAGAUACCCGAGUAGUCC
rnacentral:rRNA from 1 species